UACGGGGGGAGCAAGCGUUGUUCGGAAUUACUGGGCGUAAAGGGCUCGUAGGCGGCCAACUAAGUCAGACGUGAAAUCCCUCGGCUUAACCGGGGAACUGCGUCUGAUACUGGUUGGCUUGAAUCCGGGAGAGGGAUGUGGAAUUCCAGGUGUAGCGGUGAAAUGCGUAGAUAUCUGGAGGAACACCGGUGGCGAAGGCGGCAUCCUGGACCGGUAUUGACGCUGAGGCACGAAGGUCAGGGGAGCAAACGGG
rnacentral:rRNA from 1 species